GAGGUCUCAAGCGUUGUUCGGAUUCAUUGGGCGUAAAGGGCGCGUAGGCUGCGGGGCAAGUCGGGUGUGAAAUCUCAGAGCUCAACUCUGAAACUGCACUCGAUACUGCUUUGCUUGAGGACUGGAGAGGAGAUUGGAAUUCACGGUGUAGCAGUGAAAUGCGUAGAUAUCGUGAGGAAGACCAGUGGCGAAGGCGGAUCUCUGGACAGUUCCUGACGCUGAGGCGCGAAGGCCAGGGGAGCAAACGGG
rnacentral:rRNA from 1 species